AUUGAACGCUGGCGGAAUGCUUUACACAUGCAAGUCGAACGGCAGCACGGGGCAACCUGGUGGCGAGUGGCGAACGGGUGAGUAAUAUAUCGGAACGUGCCCAAUCGUGGGGGAUAACGUAGCGAAAGUUACGCUAAUACCGCAUACGAUCUACGGAUGAAAGCGGGGGAUCGCAAGACCUCGCGCGAAUGGAGCGGCCGAUAUCAGAUUAGGUAGUUGGUGGGGUAAAGGCUCACCAAGCCAACGAUCUGUAGCUGGUCUGAGAGGACGACCAGCCACACUGGAACUGAGACACGGUCCAGACUCCUACGGGAGGCAGCAGUGGGGAAUUUUGGACAAUGGGCGCAAGCCUGAUCCAGCCAUUCCGCGUGCAGGAUGAAGGCCUUCGGUUGUAAACUGCUUUGUACGGUAACGAAACGGUACUAGCCCUAAUACGGCAGGCGUAAUGACGGUACCGUAACGAAUAAG
rnacentral:rRNA from 1 species